UGGGCCUGGGCCUCCUUCUCCGGGCAUCUGGGCCGGGGCGCACUGCUGCGGGAAGAAGCCGGGCGGUUAAGGCAGAGCCUGGAGGCGCCGAACCCAGCGUGGGGCCGGCGGGUGUACCGGGUGCGUUCCGCCCUCUGCUGGUCACCGUGUGACCUUGCAACUACGGCUGGGCCCCCGACUGCACACCAAAGUCCCUCGCUGGCUCCUGCAGGAUUCCCUGGGCGUCCUGGGACUCACUACGCAGCGGCCUCUCGCCCGACUCGCCGUCCAACACGGGAUGCUGUUUGCUGGGUCCGCGGUUUCCCGCUUGAGAUGGUUUGCACCUGAGCUAAGGCAGCGGCGGCGGCUUGCGGUCCUCGCUCCUUAGGAGGGAUCCGGGCUCUUCCUGUCCUCCACCACGCAUCUCUUUGAGCCCUGCCUAGGGACCCCUUGCUCAUCUCCUAAGGACCUCGCACCCUCUCUCCGGUGCGGUGCGACCUGCCUUGUAUGAGCCGGCAGGGCCAGAGAGAAACAUACUUGUGUCAAGUUCAGUCAGGUCUCUUCCUUCCCUUGAGGGCAGGUGAAGUCCAGGUACAGGUUAUGGUGGACUGGGACUCUGCACAGGAUACUCUGGGCAGUGCCUGGAUGCCAAGGACAGCUUUUCCAUUCACCUUAUUCCGGAGGGCUGGGAUUGGAAGGCAUGGACUGAGUGGGCUUCAGCUCACUGCACAGAAACCCCUGUUUGGAACUCCCAAGGUGUGACAUUUAUUUUUACUGGAUAUUUUCCUUGAGAAUCUCUGCCUUUCUUUCCAGAUGGAUGGGCUGGAUGGUUUCAGCAGUCCAUCCCUAACAACAAGAGGCUUCCUAACUCAGGAAAGCAGCCAGAACAAAGACAAAGCCAAGGACCAUUUUGGAGUCAUAAAAUCCCUAUUAGGACCCUAAGCAUAACUCAAAGAAUUGGACACAAAUUCACAAAAGCCAGGGAGUUCAUUGGUCUCCACCCCGAGGGGUGCAUAGCUGGGGAGGGGGGCUGGGUGUGAGCUGGGACGGGUGCCUGUCCUAUUUGAUCUUUAUCUUAAAUCCACUUCAAAACUUUGCCGCUCAGCCGAUUUGGAGGUUGGCCCCUUCCUGCAAUUAUUUGGUGUCUAGUAAAGUUUUUAUGAGUGUCUGUGCAAAUAAAUGUAGCUGAUGAUGUGA